GAUGAACGCUAGCUACAGGCUUAACACAUGCAAGUCGAGGGGCAGCAUGAACAAAGCUUGCUUUGUUUGAUGGCGACCGGCGCACGGGUGAGUAACACGUAUCCAACCUGCCCAUAACUCAGGGAUAGCCUUUCGAAAGGGAGAUUAAUACCUGAUGGUGUUGAAAUUCCGCAUGUUAUUUCAACUAAAGAUUUAUCGGUAACGGAUGGGGAUGCGUGACAUUAGAUAGUAGGCGGGGUAACGGCCCACCUAGUCUACGAUGUCUAGGGGUUCUGAGAGGAAGGUCCCCCACACUGGAACUGAGACACGGUCCAGACUCCUACGGGAGGCAGCAGUGAGGAAUAUUGGUCAAUGGUCGGAAGACUGAACCAGCCAAGUAGCGUGAAGGGAUGAAGGUUCUAU
rnacentral:rRNA from 1 species